CAUUAAAGAGUUUUCUACAACUCCCAAACCCCUGUGAACAUACCUUCUGUUGCCUCGGCAGGCCUCGCCUACCCUCGUAGCCCCCUACACCGUAGGGCCUACGCCGGGUGGUGCGCGGACCCUGCCGGCGGCCCGCGAAACUCUGUUUAGCACUGAAUCUCUGAACAUAUAACUAAAUAAGUUAAAACUUUCAACAACGGAUCUCUUGGUUCUGGCAUCGAUGAAGAACGCAGCGAAAUGCGAUAAGUAAUGUGAAUUGCAGAAUUCAGUGAAUCAUCGAAUCUUUGAACGCACAUUGCGCCCAUUAGUAUUCUAGUGGGCAUGCCUGUUCGAGCGUCAUUUCAACCCUUAAGCCCCUGUUGCUUAGCGUUGGGAGCCUACGGCAGCGUAGCUCCCCAAAGUUAGUGGCGUGGUCGGUUCACACUCCAGACGUAGUAGAUUUUCGUCUCGCCUGUAGUUGGACCGGUCCCCUGCCGUAAAACACCCCAAUUCUAAAAGGUUGACCUCGGAUCAGG
rnacentral:rRNA from 1 species